UGGAGGCCGUUUUAUCAAAAGAUCUUAGCAUGAUCUUACGUAAGAUUCGUAGGAUUUUGUCGUACGCUUAUCGUAAGUACUGCGUACCGUUUUAUCAAAGAAAUCGCAGCUAAAAUGUCGUAAGAUUUGUGCUUAAAGCUACGACUGGGUAAGACCACUCUUAGCGUUCGUAAACCUUCGUAAACAUGGCGGCCGCACGCGCUUUAAACGUUGGUCAACCAAGAGAGAUGAGAAUGUUUCGAGAAAGAAAGGAUUUAGCGAUCUCCGUGAUGGAGAAAUAUUGAUACUAUUGGACGUAUUUAUGUUUGAUAACGUUAAAUAUAUUCGUUAUAUCAUUCUCUGCAUUAAACGUCCAAGGGAAAUGAAAUUUGUGAUGUUUGGAUAAUUAAUUCGUUAAAUAGGUUCAUUGAGAUUAUGUCAAAAUGGCUUGGGUCAACACACACGACCGUCGACGCCUCUGUCUUUGUCCGUGAUUUGAAGACUUUUCUGGAAGAAAACCACAAGAGACACCUACUGGGGGAGUCCGGCUAUCAACAAUAGGUACAACAAUGCCCAGUCAAGUGUACUGUGGUUGAUAGGGCUUUUGGACUGCCAAAGAGUAGAUUUAGGUGUCCGCAUAAAACUGGCGGUUGUUUAUUCAUGAGACUCGAUGAGUGCUGUCAAGCAGUGGCUGCAUGAAUGCGCCUGCACAACUUAUGCAUAGAUUAGCAGGUGCCACUGCCUGAACAACUUACUUAGGCACAAGAAGUGGAUGACGUUGUGCACAGUCCACAACAGAACCAAAAUGCAGCUUAUAUGGACAACACAUCAUUAACUUAUUUAUGUAGUUGCUAUUUUAUGCUCACAUGUGCACGAAGUGCUAUAGGUGAGUCAAUGUGGUCAGUCUAUGUUCGGCGACAUGUGUUAAUAUUCAAUAUUUGACUCUUUGUUGAUGAAAGAUGGUCAUUAUGUUUCUGCUUAUGAUACAAAAUAACUUAAUAAGUUAAUGAUUUCUUGUCUAUGAGCUGCUGCAUUUCGGUGAAGUGUGGUCAACAUCUUUGUAAAAGUGUGGAUAUUGACAAUUUCUGCCGUUCUUUUUUGGAUUUUUUUCAUUAAAGACACACUUUUUACAAUAAGCAUUUAUGCAAUGCGUACGAUGAUUACAUGUUUCUUUUAUAGUAUAACAAAGUGAAAAUAAAUUCUACUCCUUUAUUUAAUUAUCUUUGUAACAUAACAAUACAGGGUUUUCUCCAACAACUCUACAGCUAGGGAACAAUGAAGUGGAACACUAUCUGAAAAUGAAAUACAUUUUAUGUUAAUAAAAUUUGUAUUUUUGUAAGACAAGUGAUGAAAUAAAAGGUUAACAUUGUAACAUAAAGAGAUGUGGUUUCUGUUUGUUCUUUAAAGAGCAUGUACUGUGUAUACUGCACAUCAGACAAGGUUCUGUUGGAACUAAUAGUUUCAUAUAAAAAAUUCUUGAGAAUGAAUUGUAUCAUUUAUGUAAAGAUGGAUUGUUGAUUCAUUAUUACACAUUCAUGAUCUACACUUCAUAAGUUAAUUUUAAUUUUCAUGGAACUCACAUCUUUUUUUUCUUACCCACUCAAAUGACUGGGCCUCACAUGCGCUGUUUCGCGGAUUUCCUAUAGUGAUUAUAUAUGAAUGAAUAUAACUCGUAAAAUAACAUAAGUAAUCCAAUAUGUUAUUUUAGCUUAUGUAUACUCGUUAAUUUAUUUUCUACAAGUCCAUGUAAAAAAAAAUAACUUUUUUGUAUUUACUAAAAAAAAAAUAUUCAAUUGAUUUUUACAAAUGGUAUUGUGAAAUGUGAUUUACCUUUUUUAUGCUCCCCCAAAAUAAAUUUUUUGGGGAGCAUAUAGUCACCGCUUCGUCUGUCCAUGCGUCUGUCUGUCCGUCCGUGCACAAUUUUUGUCCGGGCUAUUUCUCAGAAACUAAUGACCGGAAUUCAAUGAAACUUUAUGGGAAGCUUCACUACCAAGAGGAGAUGUGCAUAUUAUCAGCAGGUUCUGGUCGGAUGAUUUAUUACAGAGUUAUGGCCCUUUGAAAUUUUCCAUAAACUGUACAUAUAGUGCAAUUCUUGUCCGGGCUAUUUCUCAGCAACUAAUAACCGGAAUUCAAUGAAACUUUAUGGGAAGCUUCACGACCAAGAGGAGAUGUGCAUGUUAUCAGCGGAUUCUGGUCAGAUGAUAUUUCACAGAUUUAUGGCCCUUUGAAAUUGUCUAUGAAAAAUUAUUGUCCCCUUCCCCCAACUACUGUGCCCUCAAAACGUUUCCUUUUAUCUGAAUAUAUAGUGCAAUAUUGUGACAAAAAACAACUUUGGGGAGCAUCAACCGUCUCCGACGGUUUCUUGUUUUUAAAUAACAUGUAUUUAAUAAAUCACCAUAAUAACUUUAUAUAUGAGUCGCGCUCUGAGAAAAUGGGGUUUAAUGCAUGUGCGUAAAGUGUCGUCCCAGAUUUGCCUGUGCAGUCUACACAGGCCAAUCAGGGACGACACUUUCAGCAUGUAUUAUAUGUUUCGUUUUAAGAAAGACUCUUCUUAGCAAAAAUCCAGUUUAGGCAGAAAAUUGUCCCUGAUUAGCCUGUGCGGAAUGCACAUGUUAAUCUGGUAUGACACUUUAUGCACAUGCAUUAAACCCCCUUUUCACAGAGCGGGACUCAUAUGUAAGUAUGCCCAAUGUUUUCAUUUUGGUAUUUUGCGAAAUUACUUCUAUCUAACGAUCAAUAUUCAUUAAUAAAUAUGGACAAUCGAUCUUUAUGAGCUGUCAUACAUACAAACAUGUACAUUCAAUGACAAAAAGAUAUUUUGAUUUAUGCAUUUAUUACAAUUUGAAAUGUAUCUGUAACCAAGUAACUAAAUAAAUAACGAUAUUUAUGUCACAUAAUUAAUUUGUGAUAAUGAUAACGUUGUUAAACCUUAUUUAUUUUAUGUGUUUUGUAACAUUGACACACCUACACGAAUAAAUGUGCUAACUUUA